rnacentral:rRNA from 1 species
GACGAACGCGGGCGGCGUGCUUAACACAUGCAAGUCGGACGGAAAGGCCCAGCUAUUGUGGGGUGCUCGAGGGGCGAACGGGUGAGUAACACGUGAGUAACCUGCCCUUGACUUAGUGAUAACUUCAGGAAACUGGGGCGAAUACCGGAUAUGAGCUCCUGCUGCAUGGGGGGGGGUGGAAAGUUUCGGCGGUUGGGGAUGGACUCGCGGCUUAUCAGCUUGUUGGUGGGGUAGUGGCUUACCAAGGCUUUGACGGGUAGCCGGCCUGAGAGGGUGACCGGCCACCUUGGGACUGUGAUACGGCACAGACACCUACGGGAGGCAGCAGUGGGGGAUAUUGCACAAUGGGCGGCAGCAUGAUGCAGCAACGCCGCGUGCGGGAUGAAGGCCUUCGCGUUGUAACCCGCUUUCGCCUGUGACGAAGCCUGAGUGCCGGUCCUGGGUCAAGAAGCACCGGCUAACUACGUG